GACGAACGCUGGCGGCGUGCUUAACACAUGCAAGUCGAACGGAAAGGCCCUGCUCUUGUGGGGUGCUCGAGUGGCGAACGGGUGUGUAUCACGUGAGUAACCUGCCCUUUUCUUUGGGAUAACUCCAGGAGACUCGGGCUAUUACCGCAUAUGAGCUCUUUCUGCAUGGUGUGGGUUGUAAAGUUUCGGCGGUUCGGGAUGGACUCGCGGCUUAGCAGCUUGUUGGUGAGGUAGUGGCUUACCAAUGCUUUGACGGGUAGCCGGCCUGAGAGGGUGACCGGGCACAAAGGGACUGAGAAACGGCCAAGAGGCAUACGGGAGGCAGGAGUGGAGAAUAUUGCACAAUGGGCGGAAGCCUGAAGGAGCGACUCCGGGUGCGGGAUGACGGCUGUCGGGGUGUAAACCGCGUGCGCGUGUGAAGAAGAGUGAGUGACGGUAAUGAGUAAAGAAGCAACGGCUAACUACGUG
rnacentral:rRNA from 1 species